GAGGGUAGAGCUCAGUGGUAGAGCACAUGCUUAGUAUGCACAAGGUCCUGGGUUCAAUCCCCAGUCCCUCCU
rnacentral:tRNA from 1 species